rnacentral:rRNA from 1 species
GGGGAAUAUUGCACAAUGGGCGAAAGCCUGAUGCAGCGACGCCGCGUGAGGGAUGAAGGCCUUCGGGUUGUAAACCUCUUUCAGUAGGGAAGAAGCGCAAGUGACGGUACCUACAGAAGAAGCACCGGCUAACUACGUGCCAGCAGCCGCGGUAAUACGUAGGGUGCGAGCGUUGUCCGGAAUUAUUGGGCGUAAAGAGCUUGUAGGCGGUUUGUCGCGUCUGCCGUGAAAAUCCGGGGCUCAACUCCGGACUUGCGGUGGGUACGGGCAGACUAGAGUGUGGUAGGGGAGACUGGAAUUCCUGGUGUAGCGGUGAAAUGCGCAGAUAUCAGGAGGAACACCGAUGGCGAAGGCAGGUCUCUGGGCCACUACUGACGCUGAUGCACGAAAGCGUGGGGAGCAAAC